GUCGAAGGACGACGCGGGAGGAAUGGCGAGCGGAGGUAGUGGCCGGCCCGGAGCUUGAAUCGGCCUCCAUCUGAAGCGGAGGAGCGCUGGCUGUGGCCGGGCGCGGGGCGCGCAGGUGCGUGAGUCCCCAGCGGCGUUGAGGGCGGGACUCUUGGCCGCGGCUGUCGUUCCUCGACCUUGGAGCCGAGGCCGUUUUGCCGGGCCCGUCCCACCGGGCCGCGCUGGACUACGAUCCCCAGGAGGCCGCGCGGCAUCGCCCGGGUCUUUUCGGCUGUUCGAAAACCGAGCGCUGUCGUGCAUCUGCACCUUUCGCUCGCUUGACCUGCCCGCUCGGAGCCGAGGCUGUUUCCACCGGCAGCUGGCCACGUGGCGGGGGUACAGAGGACGCGGUUGAUGGUGAUAUUAAGAGCUGUUUCAGAAGCUGAGCCGAAGCAGCUACCCCAGUCUCUCCUCACCAUGAAGGGACAACCAGAGAGGUGCCCUCAGAAUGCUUUGAAUACGAAUUGCCAUCAUCUCCAGCCAUUAUGGCCAGUUCUGAGCCCUGGAAGGCAGCAUGAGUUAGUUCGGGUUGUAUGUAGCAGUCCCGGAUGAGAACGGAGGGGCCUUCUCUGGAGAGCCAUUUUUCACCUGUUUCGGAGAUGAUUCGUUGGACAAUCCAGCUCUGAAGCUUUGAUUCUGCAUUUUGGCAUGGUCAAAGGUUGCCCUAGGAAGAAGCCAGGCCUGGUCCCUGUGCUCUCCAGCUGUUGGGGGGCUCCAGAACCGGUCGCCACAGAGCCACUGCUGCUUCCCAUCAUGCACCCUGCACGCUUUGCCCUGAAGACAAAGAGGAAGUGGCCGUAGGCAUCCCACGGGCCAGUCUCAAUUCCUUCUGAGUCAUUGCAGCCUGGCUAAAUUGAGACAGCUGGAAUGAGGAAGUCUGUGGUUGACGGAUGGAAGGUUUUUCAGAGAGAGAUGACGAGAAGGACCACGCUUAGCUCAUGCCACUUGAGCGUAUAGUGGGGGGUUUCCGCUGUUUUGAAUUUAGACUCCUGGAAGGAGAUGAAGCUCAUCUGAAGGCUGUUCUUCCGGAGAGAGUUUGGGGAGGUCCUGAGCAAGGGGACAAAGGAAGGACCACCUCGAGCAUUCGGAGCUGCCUCCCAGCUGCCUCCCGCACUGCGUUCUCCACCUGCUCUGUCUGUCUGUCUCUUAACGGAAAGAGGCUUGUCUGUAUCUUCCUAAGAAACAUUUUAUGAAGAAUAAAUGUCCCCAUGCUUGGGGCGGUCUGUC